rnacentral:rRNA from 1 species
CCAGACUCCUACGGGAGGCAGCAGUGGGGAAUAUUGGACAAUGGACCAAGAGUCUGAUCCAGCAAUUCUGUGUGCACGAUGAAGUUUUUCGGAAUGUAAAGUGCUUUCAGUUGGGAAGAAAUAAAUGACGGUACCAACAGAAGAAGUGACGGCUAAAUACGUGCCAGCAGCCGCGGUAAUACGUAUGUCACGAGCGUUAUCCGGAUUUAUUGGGCGUAAAGCGCGUCUAGGUGGUUAUGUAAGUCUGAUGUGAAAAUGCAGGGCUCAACUCUGUAUUGCGUUGGAAACUGUAUAACUAGAGUACUGGAGAGGUAAGCGGAACUACAAGUGUAGAGGUGAAAUUCGUAGAUAUUUGUAGGAAUGCCGAUGGGGAAGCCAGCUUACUGGACAGAUACUGACGCUAAAGCGCGAAAGCGUGGGUAGCAAACAGGAUUAGAUACCCUGGUAGUCCACGCUGUAAACGAUGAUUACUAGGUGUUGGGGGUCGAACCUCAGCGCCCAAGCAAACGCGAUAAGUAAUCCGCCUGGGGAGUACGUACGCAAGUAUGAAACUCAAAGGAAUUGACGGGGGCCCGCACAAG